UACGGGGGAGCAAGCGUUGUUCGGAUUUACUGGGCGUAAAGGGCGCGUAGGCGGCCACCGCAAGUCAAUUGUGAAAUCUCCGGGCUUAACUCGGAAAGGUCAACUGAUACUGCGGGGCUAGAGUGCGGAAGGGGCAACUGGAAUUCUCGGUGUAGCGGUGAAAUGCGUAGAUAUCGAGAGGAACACCUGCGGCGAAGGCGGGUUGCUGGGCCGACACGUGACGCUGAUGCGCGAAAGCCAGGGGAGCGAACGGG
rnacentral:rRNA from 1 species